rnacentral:rRNA from 1 species
AUUGAACGCUGGCGGCAGGCCUAACACAUGCAAGUCGAACGGUAACAGGAAGAAGCUUGCUUCUUUGCUGACGAGUGGCGGACGGGUGAGUAAUGUCUGGGAAACUGCCUGAUGGAGGGGGAUAACUACUGGAAACGGUAGCUAAUACCGCAUAACGUCGCAAGACCAAAGAGGGGGACCUUCGGGCCUCUUACUAUCGGAUGUGCCCAGAUGGGAUUAGCUAGUAGGUGGGGUAACGGCUCACCUAGGCGACGAUCCCUAGCUGGUCUGAGAGGAUGACCAGCCACACUGGAACUGAGACACGGUCCAGACUCCUACGGGAGGCAGCAGUGGGGAAUAUUGCACAAUGGGCGCAAGCCUGAUGCAGCCAUGCCGCGUGUAUGAAGAAGGCCUUCGGGUUGUAAAGUACUUUCAGCGGGGAGGAAGGGAGUAAAGUUAAUACCUUGGCUCAUUGACGUUACCCGCAGAAGAAGCACCGGCUAACUCCGUG